GAGGAGAUCCGUAGCCACGGUGCCUUGCCUACUUCGUGGCGCACUGUGGGUGGUGAUUUUCCGAGA
rnacentral:snoRNA from 14 species